CACAGCCUUCAAAUUCCAGAAAACGGAAAUUCUGAAAUCUGUAACCACCGUCCACCGCCACGGAAAAACUAAAAAGGCUCUGAAAACAGUGAGCUGAGGAGGAGCGAGUUGGACUCAGUAACUGUUUUAAUAACUGUUUAUUCAAAUGUCAGUUACUUUUCCACCGACUCUCUGUUCUGCCAUUUCCGCUCCCGCCGGCGCCGAUUUCACCCGCCUCCGUAUCCCAACUCGGUUAUCGAAGCAGCAUCCGAUUUCCUCGACUCGGCGUCGACUCAGUGCCGACGCCAUUGUCAAAUUCAGGAAGCCUCGUAGGCUGCUUUCUCUGUGCUGCUCGACGAUGCCUCUCGAGGGAGUCGCCACAACUUCUUUGCCUUCCGAGUUGCAGAGUGUCUUGUUGUACUCCAGAGCGUUUUGGGUCAGCAGAUCAAUAAUUGCUUGGAAUGUGGACGUUGAGGAUGGUGAAUGCUACUUGUAUGCUAGCAGAGAUGCUAAAUUAUCAGUCACUGAUGAUGAAAUCCUAGGAUAUGAUGUUAAAAUUAAGCUUGAAGGAGGAGAAGACGGGCUUCCGCAAUAUGUCACUAAAAAAUUUCCUCAUAUUCAAAAUUAUAAAGCAUUCAAAGUCCCUCAAGUUAUGGAUUGUGAAAGUCUACUGAAAUGCCAAUUGGCUGUUGCUAUCUUCACCACUGAUGGAAAAUGCAAGAGUGCUACUGGGUUGCAGCUACCUGGUAUCCUUGAUGAAUUGUUCUCUUACAGUGGGCCACUUGGUGCUGUUUUUUCAAAUGAAACUAUCUCUCUUUACCUCUGGGCACCUACUGCAACAGUUGUGCGCGCUUUCAUUUAUACGGACCCAUUGGGUGGUGAAGCCUUUGAAAUAGUUGAGCUCAAGGAGAUAGAUGGUGUUUGGACUGUUACAGUCCCAAGGCAUUGGGAGGGUUAUUACUAUACAUAUGAAGUGUCUGUCUAUCAUCCCACCACCUUGCAGAUUGAGAAAUUCUUAACCUGUGAUCCAUACUCAAGAGGUCUUUCUGCCAAUGGCAAGCGAACAUUGUUUGUUGAUCUUGAUUGUGAUAAUUUAAAGCCUGAAGGAUGGGAUAGUCUGGGGAAUGAGAAACCAAAUCUGCUUUCCAUGUCUGAUAUCAGUAUAUAUGAGCUGCACAUAAGAGAUUUCAGUGCCAAUGAUCAUACUGUACAUCCUGAUUUUCGUGGGGGUUAUCUUGCCUUCACUUUGCAGGACUCAGCUGGUGUCCUUCAUCUUAAGAGAUUGUCCAGUGCUGGUCUCACUCAUAUCCAUCUGCUUCCAACCUUUCAUUUUGCUGAUGUUGAUGAUGAAAAACAUAAAUGGAAGCACGCAGAUACGGAGAAGCUGAAAUCGUUUCCACCAGAUUCAGAUGAGCAACAAGCUAUUAUCACAGCCAUCCAAAAUGAAGAUGGGUAUAAUUGGGGAUAUAAUCCUGUUCUAUGGGGUGUACCAAAGGGAAGCUAUGCUAGUAACCCAAAUGGUCCAAGCCGCAUCAUCGAGUUCCGCAAGAUGGUGCAGGCACUUAACCACAUUGGCCUCCGGGUUGUACUUGAUGUUGUUUACAAUCAUUUACAUGCAAGUGGCUGUCAUGAUGAGAACUCUGUUCUGGACAAGAUCGUUCCAGGUUACUAUCUGAGAAGGAAUACUGAUGGCGGUAUUGAGAACAGCACCUGCGUAAACAAUACAGCCAGUGAGCAUUUCAUGGUUGAACGCUUAAUUCUUGAUGAUCUUAUGUGCUGGGCUGUUCAUUAUAAGGUUGAUGGAUUUCGAUUUGACCUUAUGGGUCAUAUAAUGAAAAAAACCAUGGUGAAAGCAAAGUCACUGCUCCAAAGCUUAUCUAAGGAGGAGAGUGGAGUAGAUGGUUCAAAAAUUUUCAUAUAUGGUGAAGGGUGGGAUUUUGGUGAAGUGGCAAACAAUGGGCGUGGGGUAAAUGCAUCACAGUUUAACCUUUAUGGAACAGGAAUUGGAAGCUUCAAUGAUCGAAUUCGGGAUGCAUUACUUGGUGGAUCCCCAUUUGGUCACCCUCUGCAACAAGGUUUUGCUACUGGCUUGUUUCUGGAGCCCAAUGACCAUGAUCAGGGUGGUAAAGCUGCUUCCGAGCAUACCCUUACUGUACUAAAGGAUCACAUUCAGGUGGGAAUGGCUGGGAACUUAAAGGAUUUUGUACUAGUAAACCAUGAUGGAGAAGAGGUCAAAGGAUCUGAAAUUCUAACUCACGAUGGCAAGCCUGUUGCAUAUACUUCUUGCCCUAUCGAAACUAUUAACUAUGUGUCUGCUCAUGACAAUGAAACUCUAUUUGACAUUGUUAGUUUGAAGACUUCAAUGGAUAUUUCUGUAGAGGAGAGAUGCAGGAUGAACCAUUUGGCAACCAGUGUGAUAGCCCUUUCCCAGGGAAUACCUUUUUUCCACUCUGGUGAUGAGAUUCUGCGAUCAAAAUCACUUGACCGUGAUUCGUAUAACUCUGGUGAUUGGUUCAACAGGGUGGACUUCAGCUACAAUUCUAACAACUGGGGUGUUGGUCUACCCCCAAAAGAGAAAAAUGAGAGGAGCUGGCCACUAAUAAAACCUAGAUUGGCUGAUCCCACUUUCAAGCCUCAGAAGAGUCACAUCAUUGCUGCUGUUGAAAACUUUUGUAAUCUUUUACAAAUCAGGUACUCCUCACCGCUUUUUCGUCUGCGCACGGCAAAUGCUAUUCAGGAAAGGGUACGAUUUCACAAUGUUGGCCCAUCAUUGGUUCCAGGUGUGAUAGUAAUGAGCCUUGAAGAUGGCUAUGAGGGAUUUCCAGGGCUUACUCAACUGGAUCCAAAAUAUUCAUAUAUAGUCGUUGUCAUCAAUCCAAGCCCAACCGAAGUCUCAUUUACCAGCCCUGCACUAUGUGCAAAAUCUCUUCAGCUGCAUCCAGUACAGAUGAACUCGAGUGAUACUACUGGCAAGAAUUCAACAUACGACGCUUCUGGUUGCUUCAAAGUACCGGCCAGGACAACAGCUGUCUUUGUUGAACCUCGAAAGGGUUGAGUGCAUCAUUGUGCAACACAUCACUUAAAGUUGUUAUACCCGCAGAAUUUGACUCAUUAAGGAGGACAACUUGCAGGUAUUUCAUGUUUAUUCAAAAAUCAUGGGGGACCAGAAAAGGGUCUUCAUGAAUCUACCUUGAGGGUAAGCUCUUGAAAACACUGCUGCACAUUAAAGCUAGUUUUAGCACUGCAUUCAUAAAAGAUACACUUGUGCUCCCGCGCAAACGCCAUUCCUUCCGAUGUAGCUACAACCCUUUCAUCAUCCUGAGAAUAAGAUCACCAGUCAAAAGAAGACAUACACAACAAGAAUAAACCACAGAAUCUGAGCAGGACUCACUCACCCUGUCUACUUUGUUUGCAACCAGUAUCUUGAUACAAUCCUGAUUCGUGGAGUAACGUUCUAUCUCCUUCGCCCAUAUUUUGGUUAAGUUGGCAAAGGUCUCCGGCCUUGUCACAUCAUACACUACAACCAAAAGAUGAAUUGCCAUUUGCUUCAAAAGAAGAAAACUCAGGGGACUUUGACAAAAGAAGAUAUUUCAGUUGCAGGUAGCAGAAGAUACCGAGUAUGAUUCCAUGAGCCCCUCUGUAAUAAGAGCUUAUUAAUGUCCCAAAUCUCUCCUGCCCAGCUGCAUUUACAACAGCCUGAUCUUGAAGUCCACACCUGAGAGGAACAUGAUGUUCAGAAACAACAGAGAACAUUAUGUUACAUUAUGAAGAGUGAUGAAGCAGAGGAGAAUACCGAUGGUGGGAGAGAGAUGGUGAGAGAAAUAGGGAUGAGAGAUAAAGCUGAGAAGAAGGCUACUCUUGCCGACACCUGAAUCUCCAAUCAGCAGAAUCUUGAAUGAAUAUUCAUACCUGCUGUUGCAUCCACUCUCUUUUCUUGUCCCCAUGAUCACUUCCUUCUUCCUUAAUUCCGCAUAACUUUUCUUUCCUCAGCCAGGCACCUUGGUUUCCUCGAAAGUGCAGAGAGAGAAAACAAGAGAAGAUCCGAAGACCAAAUGCAACUAUGCAAGGUAAAUAGUGAAGAGUUUUUUAAAAGAUUUUAGUGGGAAUUUUUAGUUUCGAAAAACCGUAGAGUGUCUUGUCGUUGGGACGGUCGUGCCGCUUCGUCAUCGUAAACGCAGGCGGAAACUGUCACCGCGGGUGCAUUUGUUCCCUUUCCCCAUGCGCCUUUUCUUGGAUCGCCUAUUUUUGGCAGGCGGCGAUUUCAAAUUUGAUGACGAAUUUUUCAA